GGGGGGACCCGUGAAUUCCGCGAUACUUACUACUGGGAAAGCUGCUUUGAGUGAAUCCAUAGAAAACAGGACUUGAGCUGUCACCGGGAGCCCUGGGAGGUGGGUGGGUGAGCCGGGGAGGGGCCGAUGGGGACCUUGUCCUGUUGAACGAGUCCACAUUGCGGAACCCGAGCUGUCAGUGGUGUGCACAAGACCGAAGUCAUGAUCCAAACACCCAAAUCUUGGAAUUGACAGAGAGACGCAUCUGCAGUUGCUCUUCUGGGCAUGCGCGGUUCCUAACUGGCUCUCGGGUGGAGCCGCAGGUGGCGGCGGAGGGAGGCGUGUGGGAAGCGCCUGAGGGUCUUUAUCAGUUUCCGCCCAGGGCUUUGUGACCCUUUGAAGCCGGCUCCCCCUCCUUUGAAGCACCCCCUGCCGCCACCACCUACUGGGGGUUGAACCCAGGGGCGCCGGGCCACUAAGCCAAGUCUCCAGCCCUUUUAUUUUUUGUUUUGAGACCGGGUCUUCCUAAGUUGCCCAGGCUGGCCUCCAACUUGGGAUCCUCCUGCCUCAGCCUCCCAAGGAGCCGGGAUCACAGGCGUGCGCCGCCGAGCUCCACUGUUGUCUCCUUUUUAACCAUGAACUAGUCUAACUUCACAAGCGUCAGGGGCAUCCUCUGCGCCCCCCCCCCCGGGGGGGGGGGUUCAUUGACUCCAUGAAUCCCGCUGUCCCUAGUAAAGAUUUCCCAUUUUCGCUUUGCAUUGAGUCACCUUCUCGGGGAUGCAUUGUGGAAUUUCACAGAACCACCCGAGACAAGCCCACAACACAUUGACGGAUGGCUCCACUGCCUUGCUCCUGGUGGAACAGAAUGGACGUUCGAGGGAAUGGCGGUGAGGCCAUCAGCUCGACCCAGGACAUGCUCAUGUGCCAGGUGUGGGGGCACACCUGUAAUCCCAGGGACUGGAGGCCGAGGUGGGAAGAUUGCAAGUUGGAGGCCAGCCUCAGCAACUUAAGGAGAUCCUGUCUUGAAAUAAAAAAAAAAUAAAGACGGGCUGGGGAUGCGGCUCAGUGGCAGGGCGUCCCCGGGUUCCAUUCCCAGCACCCAAACAAACAAAAACACAGAGAACAUUUCAAGUUGGAAUGACUGUUGCUUCUCUGAAUUCAUAAUUGUGUGGCUAUCUGGAUAAUGAACCAUAAAAUGAGCACCCGGAGGACAAGGAAGUAUUUUAUAUGAAAAUACCUUUACACCAUCCUCACACCUGCAUGAAAAAUAAAGACGGGGAGGCAGGGACUGGACAGAAAACGGCAACAAACCCCCCAGUUUGUGUGAGAGGACUGUCAGGGACAGUGGCUUAAAAUUAUUUUCAACAUAGAAACUUCUUCACUGUUGAAAGAAGUUUGAAGAAAAGUCUCAGAUUCGUUUGUGAGGAGGGAGUCUCUUUGAUGAUUAAAAGUGACUUUCAGCCCCAUCUGUGUGCACAUCUGUAGUGCCAGCCACUGUGGGAGGCUGGGGCCUGAGGAUCACUGGAGCCCAGGAAUUCAAGGCCAGCCUGGGCAACAGAGCUCACUCUGUCUCGAAAUAAAACAAAACUUUCAUUACCAGAGUCAGUUGGAGGCAAUGAAAUUUAACAAAACCUACACCCCAUCUUUUAUGCCCCAUCGAACAUGUCAUUUCCCCAUUUUGUAAAUGAACACACUGAGACCAGAAAGGUCAAGCAACUUCCCGG
rnacentral:lncRNA from 1 species